rnacentral:ncRNA from 1 species
CAUGCACAAGGGCAAACCCAUCGAAAGGUGGGGACGCAAAGUUUCCGGCCUACCGAGCAAGCCUCCAAGGUCGCGGGAUUGCAACG